GAUGAACGCUGGCGGCGUGCCUAAUACAUGCAAGUCGAGCGAACAGACGAGGAGCUUGCUCCUCUGACGUUAGCGGCGGACGGGUGAGUAACACGUGGAUAACCUACCUAUAAGACUGGGAUAACUUCGGGAAACCGGAGCUAAUACCGGAUAACAUAUUGAACCGCAUGGUUUAAUAGUGAAAGACGGUUUUGCUGUCACUUAUAGAUGGAUCCGCGCCGCAUUAGCUAGUUGGUAAGGUAACGGCUUACCAAGGCAACGAUGCGUAGCCGACCUGAGAGGGUGAUCGGCCACACUGGAACUGAGACACGGUCCAGACUCCUACGGGAGGCAGCAGUAGGGAAUCUUCCGCAAUGGGCGAAAGCCUGACGGAGCAACGCCGCGUGAGUGAAGAAGGUCUUCGGAUCGUAAAACUCUGUUAUUAGGGAAGAACAAAUGUGUAAGUAACUAUGCACGUCUUGACGGUACCUAAUCAGAAAGCCACGGCUAACUACGUG
rnacentral:rRNA from 1 species